UCCUCCUGACUCCAGGACCUCUAUCCAUUGCACCACCUAGCUGCCCGUUUAAUUUUUAUUCUUUAAAAAAUGUGGAUAAACAGGAAUGCUCAGGGAAUUGAUGAGAGAGGUAGUUCUGGGUAACAAGAUUUUCUAGUUAGCUCAAGGUUAAUAGAAUCGUAGACUUAGCAGUGAAAGGAGCCUCAGAAAUCAUCUACUCCCACUCUUCCCUCUUUCCCAACUAAAAAAAAAUAAAACCUGUGUUCUAGCUCUUACUUAGUCUUAUUUGGCAAAGUCCCACUGAGACCUGCCUCAAUAAAGUCAAGUCCAGUGACCAGAAUUGACUGAUUCUUUGAUGUCUGAGGAUACUCGGGGAGUUCAGGGCCACUGUACUGAAUGGAACGUCAUCUGUUAUUGUUCAAGACAAUAUGAAAGUUGUGGGUGACUGAACACCAGACCUAGGCCAGAGGUUUGAAGUUUUUUAUGUCUAAAUCUCUGACAUCUUUUCUUUCUUGUCAUAUAUCUCUUACUGCUAAAAGUAGGGGCAGUCACAAAAUUCCAGUUCAUGGAGGUGCCAGGUAAUCUGUUUACAGUAGUGAUCGUUUACUAUGUUUUUUGCUUUUUCCCAAUACACAUGGAAAAGGGUUAUUCAAAGCCUGAAUUGCAGCAUAUUCAGGAUUCUAUGAGUUAUCUAAACAUCUGACAUCAAACUUUGGCCAAAAAACAGAACAUAGGAUAAUAUAUUAACAAAUACUCUUCCAUACAAAUAACACUUCUAAAACUUCAACUGCCUUUAGAAUAAACUUAUUUUUCUAACUUCAGCAGUAAGGAUGACAUGCUUUUAACAAAUUUUGUGUUGAUUUGCAUAAAGCCUUCCCCGCCCCCCCAAAGAAAGCAAAGGGGCUUUUUGGACUCGCUCUCCGUUUUCAUGACCAGUCCUGAAAAUCAGUGGAGAUUCACAGGACCUCAGAACCAGAACCCUUGAUGGGAUAGGGGACAGCGUGAACCACUGAAGGGACAGAGUUGUCCAGCUGACCUGGAACAUGAAUUGUGGAGAAUGGAAUGAUUGAGCUAAGACUGGAAAGAAAAUGGAACUGAGACCCAGGGAGUGAAACUAGCAUGUCAGAAUCACCAUGAAGUCGGCAGCAGUCAGGAGUCAAACCCAGAUCCUCUGAUUUCAAGCCUGAGGCAGCCUCCCCUGCAAUAUGCUACUUUCCCCAUGCUCUCCACUGAACUGACUGUACCUCUCUUCCAGCUCCUAUCGCCUUCCAGAAGUGGAAGCUAUUUUACAGGGGGCAGGGGGAAUUCCCUAGGGGCAGGGCUCUUUACCACUCUGAAGCUCACCACCAGGAGAGAAGGAGGAGCUGAUUCAAGUUACCAUAGGGAAGAUGGCUCGAGAUAGAGCAAAGCUGCCUUUGACAUGGUUUGCAGCUCAAACAAUC